rnacentral:lncRNA from 1 species
CCGUUUUCUAUUGCGCUAUGUGUUGAACUAAAUAUCUGUGUUUUUAUAGAAAUAUGACUAUACAUAUGUCAAACAAAGCAUAAACGAUGUAUUAAUAUUUUCCUCUCAUUUCCCCAUUAUAUGUAUGUAUAGAACCCACCAAACUCAUCAACCAUCUCCAGCUUUGUCCUAAAUCCUAUAUAUUUUAGGACCAACAUACCCCACCAACCACCGCUACUACCAUCCAUCUCUGUUGUCGCAGUUUUGGUGGCACAUCUAUCAUCAUGGCUGUAGUGAUGUUUGAAGCUUGAUAUUCUUGGACAGGAAAAUGGAAACAAGCACUGACAAAAAGAGAGAGGACAAAGGUAGAGGAAGAGAGAUGAUCUCACAAUACUCCAGACUCCAAUAAUGGAAUAUGAG